AUUGAACGCUGGCGGUAUGCUUAACACAUGCAAGUCGAACGGCAGCACGAGGAGCUUGCUCCUUGGUGGCGAGUGGCGGACGGGUGAGUAACGCGUAGGAAUCUGCCUGGUAGGUGGGGGACAACCAGAGGAAACUCUGGCUAAUACCGCAUACGCCCGUACGGGGGAAAGCGGGGGCUCUUCGGACCUCGCGCUACUAGAUGAGCCUGCGUCGGAUUAGCUUGUUGGUGGGGUAAUGGCCCACCAAGGCGACGAUCCGUAGCUGGUCUGAGAGGACGAUCAGCCACACUGGGACUGAGACACGGCCCAG
rnacentral:rRNA from 1 species